UAAAAAAUUGUUGCCUCUCUUGAAACAAUAUAAUCUAUGUUCGCGCCAAUUACGCUAUGACGUGAAAUUGCUGAGCGUCCAUUUUCUAUUGCUUCACGAAAGUCGGUUGCGUCGCAUCACGUCUCGUAUAAAAUUGUGUAUUUUACUUGUGUAGAAGUGUGUUUCGCGAGUGAAAAAGUAUCGGAAGUGCGAUUCUAAUGCCGGGCGUAUGUCGUAGCGUGUUAACAAGUGCGCGCGAUCGUAAUUAGCUGUUAUCUCACGAGACGCGAUUCACGCUCGCGGUCAGUAGUCGCGUAGUAAAUUUCGCUGCCGUGCUCGCACAGUUUGCAUCGUUUAAAAGCGCGUAUUUUCCGCAUUUUACUCGUCAAAUCAUGCACACCGGUAUUAUCAGUACCCAUAAUCGUGAGCGUGCCGUGUUUUUCUAACCGAUUCGUAUUAGUGAGUGAAUGCCUUUGAAGACAAUACGUUUGACGACAACGGAUCAUCCAUCUUACAAUUAGUUCUUAGGCGAUACAUAAUUAAUGGACUUGGAAGAAAGAUUACAACGUCAGGUGUUAGCGUUACAACAACCGAUGAGUAAAAUUUGCCAAGGAAAAGUUCACAAAUUAGAAAACAAAUAAAAUGACUUGGAAGAAGGAUUACAACGUCGGGUGUCAGCGUUACAACAACCGGACACCCAGUAGAGAUCCAGAAUCAAAUUCUCUCUCUUCGUCUUCCAGAACUUAAAUCCAAUUCCAGAUUUUCAACAGACAGCGGUACAGCACUGAAUGGAACUAUAAGGGUGGUUGCAGGGCAUCAAGGGUCGAAGAGUGAUGCCCCGCAUGACCGUGCCCCGUACGUAAAGUGGACGAAAUUAAUCGCGCAAUAAAAGCCGACGGCCAGGCACUAACAUGUUUUAGUGCACUCCAAAUUCCGGAAAAUAUAUCGUUCACACCUGUGAGACAAGCAAGAGGUGAAGUCAGGACGUUAAGGUACCGAAUUACAUACUUAAGCUUUCCACGAAGGUACAUUUCACCAGAUAAACCACGGCUCCGCACCGCACCGGCGUGGUUUAACACAAAAGGCAGCAUAAACUUUCGGAGUGAGCGGGUGCCGCAUCGCAAACGGCAAAACUAGACGCAACACACAACACCAACCACCGUCGCCUCUCUUUGGCAUUACUUCGAGCAUGUAAUGGAGCUCGCCAGGUCGACGAGAACCAAAAGGUGCAUCCUUUCCGGACAAAUACCACCGUGAUACCAGCAGCAACGCAAGAACAAAUAUUUGAUGGAACGAACGAUGUAUAAAUCUCUACUGAAAACAACGCUAAAAGGCAUCGCCAGCGACUGCGUGAAAUUAUAUUAUAAUUUUAUUUAGAAAUGAAAAGGAUUGCAUAUGAAAUCAAC